UCGGGCUGAAGACUCUACUUGACUAGCUGAGAGGAGGUGCAUGGCCGUCGUCAGUUCGUACUGUGAAGCAUCCUGUUAAGUCAGGCAACGAGCGAGACCCACGCCAACAGUUGCCAGCUCGUCCUCCGGGGAUGGUGGGGACACUGUUGGGACCGCCUCUGCUAAAGAGGAGGAAGGAAUGGGCAACGGUAGGUCAGCAUGCCCCGAAUUAUCUGGGCUACACGCGGGCUACAAUGGGUGGGACAAUGGGUAUCGACACCGAAAGGUGAAGGCAAUCUCCUAAACCCAUCCGUAGUUCGGAUUGUGGGCUGCAACUCGCCCACAUGAAGCUGGAAUCUGUAGUAAUCGUGUCUCAAAAUGGCACGGUGAAUAUGUCCCUGCUCCUU
rnacentral:rRNA from 1 species